rnacentral:rRNA from 1 species
GACGAACGCUGGCGGCGUGCCUAAUACAUGCAAGUAGAACGCUGAAGGAGGAGCUUGCUUCUCCGGAUGAGUUGCGAACGGGUGAGUAACGCGUAGGUAACCUGCCUGGUAGCGGGGGAUAACUAUUGGAAACGAUAGCUAAUACCGCAUAACAGUAGAUAUCGCAUGAUAUGUGCUUAAAAGGUGCAAUUGCACCACUACCAGAUGGACCUGCGUUGUAUUAGCUAGUUGGUGAGGUAACGGCUCACCAAGGCGACGAUACAUAGCCGACCUGAGAGGGUGAUCGGCCACACUGGGACUGAGACACGGCCCAGACUCCUACGGGAGGCAGCAGUAGGGAAUCUUCGGCAAUGGACGGAAGUUGACCGAGCAACCCCGCGUGAGUGAAGAAGGUUUUCGGAUCGUAAAGCUCUGUUGUAAGAGAAGAACGAGUG